AAGAAACCACCAGGGAUUGCCCCAGUAACGGCGAGUGAAGCGGCAACAGCUCAAAUUUGAAAUCUGGUCCCCAGGGCCCGAGUUGUAAUUUGCAGAGGAUGCUUUUGGUGAGGUGCCUUCCGAGUUCCCUGGAACGGGACGCCAUAGAGGGUGAGAGCCCCGUCUGGUUGGAUACCGAGCCUCUGUAAAGCUCCUUCGACGAGUCGAGUAGUUUGGGAAUGCUGCUCUAAAUGGGAGGUAUAUGUCUUCUAAAGCUAAAUAUUGGCCAGAGACCGAUAGCGCACAAGUAGAGUGAUCGAAAGAUGAAAAGCACUUUGAAAAGAGGGUUAAAUAGUACGUGAAAUUGUUGAAAGGGAAGCACUUAUGACCAGACUUGGCCCCGGUGAAUCAUCCAGCGGUUCCCGUUGGUGCACUUUGCCGGGGUUCAGGCCAGCAUCAGUUCGCUCCGGGGGAUAAAGGCUUUGGGAAUGUGGCUCCCUCGGGAGUGUUAUAGCCCAUUGCGCAAUACCCUGUGGCGGGCUGAGGUUCGCGCUUUAUGCAAGGAUGCUGGCAUAAUGGUCAUCAGUGACCCGUCUUGAAACACGGACCAAGGAGUCGUCUUCGUAUGCGAGUGUUCGGGUGUUAAACCCCUACGCGUAAUGAAAGUGAACGCAGGUGAGAGCCCUCCAGGGCGCAUCAUCGACCGAUCCUGAUGUUCUCGGAUGGAUUUGAGUAAGAGCAUACGGGGCCGGACCCGAAAGAAGGUGAACUAUGCCUGUAUAGGGUGAAGCCAGAGGAAACUCUGGUGGAGGCUCGCAGCGGUUCUGACGUGCAAAUCGAUCGUCAAAUAUGGGCAUGGGGGCGAAAGACUAAUC
rnacentral:rRNA from 1 species